CUCCGUGCUCCUGCUGUCCAGGAAGGUGUGGGACUGGAGAGGUGGGAGCAGCUCUGGGACCCAGCAAUGGCAGAGCCUGGAGGAGAUCCCAUGGAUCCCAGCUGCAGUAUCCUGGUGCAUCCUUUCCCCACCUGAGGCAGAGGAAUCCUGGCUCACCUGUUCUCCUCCCCUUCCACGAGCUUCCUGUAGGUGAGGAUCUCCACGUCCAGGGCCAGUUUGAUGUUCAUGAGCUCCUGGUACUCUCGGACCAGGACACACCUGGCUCUUCUGGGACACGAUGCAGGACCGCAGUUUCUGGAUGCGGAUGUUCAGAUCCGCGAUUUCCCGCCGGCUGUCGAGGAGGUGCCCCCCGAAGGAGCCGGGCUGGGAGCUGCUGUCGGU